GUCCAGCAAUUUCCUCCUAAAAAGGUGGCUGGAGCUAAAGGCAUAGUCAAGGUUAAUGCUCCUUUUUCUUUAUCUGACCUCUCCCAAAAUCAGCUGGCGUUUAGGCUCUUUCUCAUCAAAUAUAAAAACCCAGCCCAGUUCAUGGCUCUUUUGGCAGCAACCCUGAGACGCUUUACAGCCCUAGACCCUGAAAGGUCAGAAGGCCAUCUUAUUCUCAAUAUGCAUUUUAUUUUAUUACCCAAUCUGCUCCUGACAUGAAAUAAAGCUCCAAAAAUUAAAUUCUGGCCCUCAAACCCCACAACGGGACUUAAUUAACCUCACCGUCAAGGUGUACAAUAAUAGAGUAGAGGCAGCCAAGUAGCAAUGUAUUUCUGAGUUGCAAUUCCUUGCCUCCACUGUGAGACACACCCCAGCCACAUCUCCAGAACACAAGAACUCCAAACACCUGAACCGCAGCUGCCAGAGCCUCCUCCCCCAGGAGCUUGCUACAAGUGCCAGAAAUCUGGCCACUGGGCCAAGGAAUGCCCACAGCCCGGGAUUCCUCCUAAGCCAUGUCCCAUCUGUGUGGGACCCCACUGAAAAUCGGACUGUUCAACUCACCCGGCAGCCACUUCCAGAGCCCCUGGAACUCUGGCCCAAGGCUCUCUGACUGACUCCUUCCCAGAUCUUCUCGGCUUAGCAGCUGAAGACUGACACUGCCCGAUUGCCUCAGAAGCCUACAGGACCAUCACAGAUGCUCUAGAUAACUCUCACAGUGGAGGGAAGAACACUGUGAGCUUCUCUGAACUACCAAAGUGAAGAAACUGCCUAGAGCACCCACCUAUUUUGCUCUCGAGGAGAAGACUCAAGUUAUUCCAACAUUAUUUUUUGAACUAACUGUUAAACAUAGUGUAUAAAGGAAUGACUUCAAGUUUUAAAUUAAUUUUUGGAUAAAACACAACGUUUCAGAGGAAUUCUGCACUUGUAAUGAGACUUAGUAGAUAAAGAAGAGAAACAGAUGGUCAAAAUAACCACAAGCUGAAUGAGUGGUCUGUGCACCUGAACCCCUGGCAUAUUGCGUUUUCUUAACUGUUAUGUGUUGAGUGGAUAGAUGAUCCAAGACAGGGUCUGCCUUCACAGUUUAGGUCACUAUUUUUAUUUCUCUCAUUCUGGUCUAAAGCAGGCAUAUUUGGCUACAAACAACUGCUGAGAUGAAGAAGAGAAGCCUGGAGCAAAAUGAAAUCUCUACAGAGGCUAGGGCUGGACAUAGAGCUCUUGGUGAGUUUUGCCAAAAGAGAGCCAAUCAGCUGGGCUUAGUGCUGCAUGCCUGUAGUCCUAGCUGCUUGGGAGGCUGAGGUGAGAGGAUCACUUGAAGCCAGAAAUUCGAGGCCAGCCUGAGCCACAGAGCAAGAUGCUGUCUCUAACAAAAUAAAGUAAAACAAAUAAAUAAACAUUUUUUAUAAAAAGGUCUACUCAGCUCCAGCUCAUUAUAAACAUAUGGCAACGCCAGAUCUGACUUUUUUUUUUUUUUUUUGUAUUUUUUAGUAGAGAUGGGGUUUCGCCAAGUUGACCAGGUUGGUCUUGAACUCCUGACCUCAGGUGAUCCACCUGCCUCAGCCUCCCAAAGUGCUGGGAUUAUAGGCUUGAGCCACCACACCUGGCCACCAGAUCUGACUUUUUAAAGAGAAGCCAGGAUUUGUAUUUUUUCUUAAAGUAACCAGGUUGGCAACGUUUUCUGAUAUUAUAAAUACACUUUAAGCCAACAGAAUAUGCCUACUACCCAUUUUUGGUGCAUAAAUUGCACAUUUGCAAUCUCUCAUUUAUGUCUUCUGUUCUUCCCUCAUUUAUACAUUUGUAAAGAAAUUUUUCCUGAUAAUUACUACUUCCAUUGGCUAAGACAGCUAGUGUUCAUAUUAAAAUCAAGGUUAUAACCAACUGUUUUUCUAUAUUCCUUUCUUGUUUUUUGGUUCAAUUUUAACUUCUGUCUCCUCUCAUUUCUCCUCCAUCCAUGGGGUUCAUUUGGCAAGAAAUUUUGCUAUCAUUCAGCCCCAAAUGGGAUCAUACUUUAAAUGUCUUCACCUGAUUUGAGAUCAUCCUGAAACACCUACUUCCUGUCACCCUGGGUCACACUAAAGGUGAUCAAAGGCAGGCACCAACCUGAUACAACACCUUCCUCCCCAAGGUUAAGAUAUUCUCUAUCAUCCUAUGAGUCAUAUCAGUAAAAUAAUGUUUAAUUUUCACAAAAGCCACAUCAUGCUCUCAUUUCACCCCCAUCACUCAAUUUCAAGGCAAUUCAUGUGGAC
rnacentral:lncRNA from 1 species